UACGGGGGGGGUAAGCGUUGUUCGGAAUUACUGGGCGUAAAGGGCUCGUAGGCGGCCAACUAAGUCAUACGUGAAAUCCCUCAGCUUAACUGGGGAACUGCGUCUGAUACUGGAUGGCUUGGAUCCGGAAGAGGGAUGCGGAAUUCCAGGUGUAGCGGUGAAAUGCGUAGAUAUCUGGAGGAACACCGGUGGCGAAGGCGGCAUCCUGGGCCGGUAUUGACGCUGAGGAGCGAAAGCCAGGGGAGCAAACGGG
rnacentral:rRNA from 1 species